GCGGGGAUGGCGGAACUGGUAGACGCGUACGCUUGAGGUGCGUAUGCCGUAAGGCUUGGAGGUUCGAGUCCUCUUCCCCGCA
rnacentral:tRNA from 1 species